UAAUAAGGCAUCAAGAAUGGUGACUGAGAGACUGCCAGGAGACAGAAAAACAUUCACUUGCUUGUUUGGCAGCUAAUAAGUCACAGCCAUAAAACUUACAAUAACUGACAAGUUAUAAAUAUGCCCUAUUUUCCUUCUUUAAAAAAAUUCCUCAUAAUCAAAAUCAUUUCCUUGACUCAUCACAGGCGCCUUCUGCCAAGAGUAUCUUCUCCAUGCAAGAGUGAAAAAGCAGCUCCACCUUUUUAAAGUUUUUUAUUUGUUUUUUACAUAGGCUACUAUUGUCUAUCUUUUGGCAGUUUCUGGUUUUUCGUGUGUUCCUUAUUCAUCUCUCGGCAGCCCUGAUCAAUUCAUUGAACUUUUAGCAAGUGUAUUGGUAUGUCCUUGGGUCUUUCCCAUUCAAAACUGUUGCAAAUACACAUAAGCCACAAGAAUGCAGUUUAAACUGUCUCAAUUUAUCAGAUUUCCACUUCAUUAGUGAGACUUUACGCAUGGUUAAAAAAGUAAUAUGGGCAAAUAGAAAGAACUUCACCCUAAUUACAAACCCAUCACUGACUUAGUGACCUGCUACUAAUCUAACAAGGACGAUUUCAGAGGUAUUACAUUUAUUACCAACAUACUGGAGGGGAGGAAGGGAGGAGAAAAGGAGGAAGGACUAGUAAAUAAUGUCUAAUUUUCCAUGUCUAUGUCAACAUGCAUCUUUUUGGAAUGAAUUUUCAAAGGUAGCCAAGUAAGCUAGGACUACUCGGUUUCAGAAUCAUGAUCAUGGUUGAAUGGGUUGAGGGAGUUCAGAUAGACUAAGGGGUAAGUUCAAAUAAUUGAUUUUAGAGGAGUUGGAAAAAUGUUUUUGGCCAACCAUAUCAAUUAUUUGGCUGGGACAAGGCUGGGCAUAUGCUUUCACCAAGACAUCUGUUGAGUAGUAACCAAAUCUCUACCUGAAGUUAAUUGAUCUCACCCAUCAAGCAAUCAGUGAAUAAAUGAGGAGCACCGUCAAAAGCUGGGGCUUCGCUGGUGGCUCAGAGGGUCAAGAAUCUGCCUGCAAUACAGGAGAUAGUUUUGAUCCCUGGGUCGGGAAGGUCCCCUGGAGAAGGAAACGGCAACCCACUCCAGUAUUCUUGCCUGGAGAAUCCCCAUGGGCAGAGGAGCCUGGCAGGCUGCAGUCCAUGGGGCCACAGUUGCCACUGAGUGACUAAGCUCAUACACAUGGCCAAAAGUUAUUCUGCGUUGUUUCCUUUUCAAAGAGCCUGUGCUUCACAACGAGAGAAGCCACCACAGUGAGAAGCCUGCACACAGCAGCUGGAGAGUAACCCCCACUCGCUGCAACUAGAGAAAGCUUGUGUGCAGCAUGAAGAUCCAGCACAGCCCCCAAAGAGUCUCCACAGAGGUUUUUUGCAGUGUAAUUGUAUUCUGUUCUCAGUCUAGAACUCUUGGUUCACAGCGAUAUUAUAGACUUGAUUUAGAGAACAUUUAUCAUCUAUCUCAUCAGAACAAUGACCUUCUUCAAGGACAUGCUCCUUCCUCACUUCAUCCAAUUUCUGGAAUUGCCGACCACAGUCUCUCUGUCCCUUUGUCCACAGUAUGUAGUCUGAGAAGUAAGCAAAUGGCCCCAGCUGGGCCAAAGUUCUUCCCCAGACUUUUCUGGAUCAUUAGUUAGACAGAAAGUUUUCCUUCUUCAGUAGUCAGAAAACUAUUGAGAAGGGUGCCCAGGAUUUCCAGGUGAGGUACUCUCUCUGGAAAAUUCCUCUGCUGCUCUGUGCCUUUACCCUGAUCCCAAGAGCCAGACAGCGGGGGCCCAGCUGGGCAGUCUUCCCUUGCUGGCCUCGGCUCCCCAGUCUACAGGGACAGGAUCAAAGACAGACUGUGGGGUCCAUCUGCUGACAAGUAUCCACGGCUUCUGUGCACUGGACACAGCUGUAUCAGGGAGGAAACAUGCGAGUGUGCGUCAGUGUGCACCACACACUUCCCUACUGCCCUGCAGCCAGCGCUCCUUGCACGCAGGCCAGGCUCUGUCUCCUGC
ensembl:lncRNA